rnacentral:rRNA from 1 species
UGCCAGCAGCCGCGGUAAUACGUAAGUGGCAAGCGUUAUUCGGAUUUAUUGGGCGUAAAGGGUCCGUAGGGGGUUUGUUAAGUCUGAUGUGAAAUACCACAGCUCAACUGUGGAACUGCAUUGGAAACUGGCAGACUAGAGCAUCGGAGAGGAGAGUGGAAUUCCUGGUGUAGCGGUGGAAUGCGUAGAUAUCAGGAGGAACACCGAAGGCGAAGGCAGCUCUCUGGACGAUUGCUGACCCUGAGGGACGAAAGCUAGGGGAGCGAACAGGAUUAGAUA